UGGCUCGGGCACGGGCGCAUGCGUGCUGGGCCGGUCGGGACGGGGCAGGUUCGGUCCAUUUGGCCGGGCCGGUCCGGUUUUCUUUUUUUUUGUUCUUUUCUUUUUCCUUUUUCUGAUUUCUUUCAUAUCUUUUGAUUUUGAACUCCAAAUUGAUCCAAAUAAAUUCCAGAAAAUUUGUAAAAUCAUAUUAUAAUGUGAUUCAACUUUUGGGACUAAUUUUCCUUCCAAAUAAAAUAUAUAAAAAUAUAUUUUACCUAAAAAUGCCUUUAGGGCUUUAUAACUAUUUAAAUAAAAUAGUUUUUCAACUCCAAAUAAAUACCAAAAAAUUACGGGAUAGCUUAUUUAUGC
rnacentral:lncRNA from 1 species